rnacentral:tRNA from 1 species
GCCCCGAUAGUUAAACGGCAUAACAGGUGAUUUGUAAUCACCUAUUGGGGGUUCGAUUCCCUCUCGGGGCUCCA